GAAAGGGAGCCUGGACACAGGUGCUGCAUGGCUGUCGUCAGCUCGUGUCGUGAGAUGUUGGGUUAAGUCCCGCAACGAGCGCAACCCUUGUCAUUAAUUGCCAUCAUUCAGUUGGGCACUUUAAUGAGACUGCCGGUGACAAACCGGAGGAAGGUGGGGAUGACGUCAAGUCCUCAUGGCCCUUAUGGGUAGGGCUUCACACGUCAUACAAUGGUCGGUACAGAGGGUUGCCAAGCCGCGAGGUGGAGCCAAUCCCAGAAAGCCAGUCGUAGUCCGGAUCGCAGUCUGCAACUCGACUGCGUGAAGUCGGAAUCGCUAGUAAUCGCGGAUCAGCAUGUCGCGGUGAAUACGUUCCCGGGUCUUGUACACACCGCCCGUCACACCAUGGGAGUGGGUUCUGCCAGAAGUAGUUAGCCUAACCGUAAGGAGGGCGAUUACCACGGUAGGAUUCAUGACUGGGGUGAAGUCGUAACAAGGUAACC
rnacentral:rRNA from 1 species